GACGGAAGGUGCAAGCGUUGCUCGGAAUCACUGGGCGUAAAGGGUGCGUAGGCGGCUUGGUAAGUUGGGUGUGAAAGCCCCGGGCUCAGCCCGGGAAGGGCACUCGAAACUGCCGAGCUAGAGUGCCGGAGGGGAGAGUGGAAUUCCUGGUGUAGCGGUGAAAUGCGUAGAUAUCAGGAGGAAUACCGGUGGCGAAAGCGGCGCACUGGACCACAACUGACGCUGAGGCGCGAAAGCUAGGGGAGCAAACAGG
rnacentral:rRNA from 1 species